CGCCCCUCGCCCCGCCCCGCGGUGCGUCCGCCAAGAGCGGAGCGGGGCGCGGUGUACGCCGGUUGCGGUUUGUCGGGCCUCGCUGCCUCUGGUGCAGCGGCGCCCGGUUACCCCUUCCCGUGCGAGUGGCCGGGCCGGGGUCCGCGGGGGUGCGCGCCGGCCCUCCGGCAUCCCUCCCUCCCCCCGGUGCCUCGCGGUUCCAGCGCCGCUGGCGGGCCCCGUCCUCGCGGGUCGCUCCUCAGGCGCCCAACGGCCUCUAACGGCCGCGGCGCGCGCCCCAACGGCCGGCCGCGAGGCGGUACGGACUCGCCAGGGGGCGCCAAAGCGCUGCGGCCGCCGCAGGAUAAACCGCCUCUGCUCUGUGCUAGGUUUGUUAUUCCUUUGUCAAAUUGCUGCAACAGGAGAACUGAACUGAAGGCAUCAGACAUCCACCUCUUGGCCAUAAGCUGAUGCAGAAUCAAGCCUGGAAGGCCCUAAAGGAACUGCCGAUGUUUGAAGUUUGUGGCUGACUUACCUUGCUCUUUGCUGCCAUAGAGAGGCCACAGCUUGCUGAAGGCUGAUCUGGGCAUCUCUACACAACGCAGCUGCCGAAAUUGGACAGCAACUUUAAGCCAUUCAGGAGACAACCUGCAAAAACCUUGGAGGAAGGAGAUGUAAGCUGGCCUGAGGUCUGAUCCUGCUCUACUGUGAUUUUACUGAACUUUGAUUUGCCAUCUUAUAUAUAUAAGCCUGACCCCUGAAGAUGCUGAAUCCUCAUCAGAACAGACUCUCCAACCAAGAGCAUGAACAAGGAGUGAUCAACAGAUUAUGAAACACAUACUUUUGCUGAUACAUUACUUGACACUCUGCCAAAGAAAACUGGUAAAAGGAAACAUAACAGAAAAUGAGUUUUGAGAAUCAGGAGGCUGUAUAUCUGUGAAGAGAAGCAAGACAGAGAAGAAAUAUCAGGAAGCAAGGCAGGAAAUCCAAUAGCUCACAAAAGGAGUGAAGGAAAUGCAGGGUUUUGAGCUAGGUACUGCCAUUAAGAAGUCUGAGCAGCAAUUACUCUCCAGCAUUGCUUUAUGCUUGUGAUAUAAAUUAGAAGGUCCUGGAGCAGACUGCAUGUCAUCCGUCUGGAAGAAUAACUGCAUCAAAUGCAGAACUUGGGCACUUUUCUUCCCAGUUAGUCACCUGCAGAGGCACAGUGAGGAGACAUCAUGUCAUCCCAACACAAAUAAUCCUGAACAUCUGUCCCAGUUGGAGAAAAUGCCAAUGAAGCUUAGUUGGCUCUGAUCCACAGUACCACACAAAUGAAUGGCUGGAAGAGUGGCAAAAAAUGGACUUCCCAGGAGCCAAAAUGAACGGGGCAGCUCUAACAAAGCCUCGGGAACCUACCCCCACCAGGCAUCCCAAACUACUAACAAGGACUUCCAAAGCUAAGUUGGCAGUGGCCCAUUUUGCAGAUGUUCAGCUGGAUUUCAUCUUGCAUAUCUUGAUCAAUGAAAGAAGAUAAAUGACUGUCUCAAAUGCUGUAGAGUUUGCUGCAGAACUUGAAUCUUGGAGUAGUGCACAUGAGAAGGAAGCAAGUGCUAUAUAAACUGUUGGCCGGAAACCCUCAAUGUACAGUUCUCUGCCUGGUGCCCUUGAAGGAAAAUGACAUUUGAGCCCAGUUCAAGUAUUUUAUGCAUGAUUGGGAAAGUGAAACAACAUUUGUAAAGUGUACAAUGCAAAACUUGAUGGAAAGAGUUCAUUGCAAAGUUGAAAAUGGCACCAAAAGAAAUACUUUUACAAUGCAGUAGAGAUGAGGAAGAUGAAGAAAGAGUGAAAAUGUCUACAGUGUGGACAUUGGGUACUCAAUACCAGGAGUUUUGCUAUGCAGAUCUGUUGCUCUGGGUCUGCACUACUUGCUAAUGCAGACGUCACCACAAGAUUCUGAUAGGGGCACUGAAAUGGCCUUCAAAUCCCAAAACAACUGAAAAUUUACCUGGUGUAUAACCAAAAGGCUGCAGCAGAUUAACUCAAAUCUACAGAGUCUUGCAAGGCAUCUUACAAGGUUCUGGUCCAAAUAAAUAAAAUGAUUUAUAGGAUAUAACUGGGAUAAUUAUCAGCAAUAGGUUUUCAGCAUGUCUGUAUCUGGGGACUGUGGAAUUCAUGAUUGCUAAAAGAAUAUUAAGUAAUGAAUGUCUUUAAUGAAAAAUAUUUCAACAGAAACAGUAAUAUUUCUCAGAAGUUUAAAAAAAAAAAAAAGACAAAUCCCAAAGCCAUCUCUUUUGAAUUGCUGCAAUGAGACUGAGCAAAGAAAAAAUCUAAGAAUGUUAAUAAAAAUGUUUUAGGUUGGUAUGAAAAUCAUCACUUACCUACAGUAGUUAAAAUGCCACUGCCUGAAUGAGUUAAUUAUUUUUACUUUUGUCCUCUUCCUCUCCCUUUUUGAGUGUCAUUACUUUAAACUUUGUUGGGGCGAAAAGUGAAACUGAGAUAAGGAUAUAGUCUGUGUAUUAAACUAAACUUCAUUGAAAUUCCCUACGGAAAGGUGGUUAAAACAAUACUCCUACAGCAAGCACAUGACACAGCUCAAAACAAAAGCAUGUGUAAGCAGUUGUUCUUUGUCAUUAAUGUUGUUCCUAUGCUGCCUAUAGCAUGGGAACAGUUUUAUUCACUGUUGUAUCAUGGUAGUAGUUUGAGCCUCUGUAAAAGAGGUAGAAGGACAGAAGAAUGAGCAGAAAACUUGAGAAAAACAGACAGAAAAGCAAAGGAUACAGUCAGCGCACAUACUUGUCCCUGAGAAAAGCAAAGAGUGAAGUCUAAAUGCUGACAGAAAAGGGACUUGGAGCUGGAGUGAAGGUGCUGUCUUUGUGUCUUGGAGAGCAGGAGUCUGUCUACUCUCUUUGGACAGGCAGGAUUGUGUCAAAAAAUACCUGACACCCUCACUAGUUUUUUCUCCUGACAAAAAAGCUCUAUGACAACAGUUUGGGAUGGGGAGAGAAGCUGAGAAUGGACCCUAUCUUUCCAACCAGUUGGGGUGAAGAAUGUCUGAAAGUGGCCAAAAAGAAAAAUGUCCUGCUCAGGUGCUAGAAAUGAGACAUGAGGAAAAAGGCGCUCACGGUCUUCAGCCCCAGGGUCUCUAUCCUGCCAGGCAGUCGUGGCGACACUUUCCUUCCCUGGUGUUUUGCUCCUGAGGCUUGUGAGCUGUGCAGGCUGCCCACCCUCCCUCUUUCUCCUGCCUAGUCAACUUGUUUAGCUCCCAGCAGUGCCUUGGAGGGGAAAUGUAGGGUUGCGAUAGGGUAGCUUGGUAUAAUCAACCGUAUGCCCCCUAAAGACUUUACCAUCCCUGAAAACUAAUAGACAAAAUCUACCUCUCUUCACUGAGAGAACCUGCCUGCAACAGACGCCUUGAAUGCUGCAGGAGUUUGGACCUUGCAUGGCGCACAGGACAGUAAGCAAAACGGAAAACCUGAAAUCUUUUGUUUCUUUUUCAGUCUCUAUGUUUGGUCUUUCAUAGCCUAUUCCGUCGCUCAUGACACAGAGGACAUGAUACUGUCAGAUUGCUUCUGUUCAGUUCCCAUUAGCAUUUUCAGUUAUUUUUUAAAAGCAAGCAAAUUCAGGAGCAGAGUUCAUAAUUUCCUGUAUCCUUCUUUUAACCUAGGUCUAUUCUGCACGCUACAUGACAUUAUUUAAUGUGCAUCAUUUCAGUAUCCUUUUAUAUGGUUUUGAUUUAAUGGAAAGCAGAGCUCAAAGAAUGUUGACUGUCUUUCUUAUUCAAACAUUGCUUCCUUCUUUAAUAGAAUAUUACAAAAAGGAUAUAAAGGUGGAAGUAGUGGAGCAUACUUUUUGGUAGGAAAAUGCCUUUAUGUUCUCACCUUUGUGUGUGUGUGAGCAGCACUAAACCUAUUAUUACUGGGCUUACUGAACUCAUUUUAUGGACUCUUUUUACUUCUCUUUCUCACAGAAUUCUCCUCUUAAUGAUGAAGACUUUCAUUAAUUGUUUUUAAAUGACCAUACUGUUAUUCAGUAGAUAGCCCAUAAGAAGUCCUUCGUAUCAAGAUGGCUUUGAAUGGAGUUUGCACCUAACUGUGUUUCUAUGUAAUGUACUAUUUAACUUCACAGAUCUUUGGUUAAAUUUAGGUAAAAUGUUUAUUUCAGUGCAGUCUCUCUUUUCUCCAGCUGUGCUGUAUCUUCACCUAACUCUAGGAAGUGAAGAGUGCAAGGCCAAAUCCCACUGAGAUUAUUGUUUUUGCUUGUCAAGCAUUUCUAUAUUUUUGUAUUGCUGUAUCAUCUUUCUGGAUGUAAAGAGAAAUUUUUAAAAUUUAAUGCUUAGCUCAAAAUUAACUUGCAAUGUGGACUCCCCUCAACUUUGCAAAAGUUCAUUUUCAGGUUCAGAUUAGAAAAAUAUAUAGCAGCAUAUUUUUUAUGUUGAUUGAAUCAGAACUCGGGAUCAUUGAUCCCAGUCUGGAUUUGCCGUUUUCAUUUUAGAACUACUUUAUCAAAAUAACAAACAAUUAAAAAGAAAAAUAAAAUUAACAUAGCAGCCACCUUAAAUCGGUGAAUCACUACAGGUUUUGUAUGGCCAACAUGGCUGAGCUUUUUUCCCAAGUAGUUAAAAUAUAUUUCUACAGAAACUCUUAGUUCCAGGAUAAAACUUAGCUAAAGAAAAGCAUCUGAUAAAGAUUCCUAUCUCCAGUGCUGAACUUUCAUAUAUCACAAGUUCAAUCAACACCACAAACUCAGCUUUCACAACAUAUUCUGGGUCCUAUUCUAGAAGAGGAUUCAUAAACUGGUAAACAGAUUUACAUGACUAGACCUGGCUCUACCAAGAUUCAUUUAACUUAAUGACAAGAUCAGGUGUCUUGGCUUUUUAAUUAAGCAAAUUCGAGAAUACUCUAGUAAUGUGUAGGUCAACUGAAAUGUUCAAAGUAACUUACAAUUUCUGGUUACCUGAAUGUGAUGGGAGAAAGUAUAACUGAUACUGACUGAUCAUAAAAUAAAAAUAAAUGUAUGCAAGUUACAAAAUAA